AGUAGGUCAGUGAAGGAGGUGCAGUUGGACUAUUAAAAAAAAAUGUAAACAACUCCCUGGGAAACUAGUAGGAGAAGGCAUAUGAAUCCCUAACCUUCAGAUGAGCCUCAGAUCAGGCACUGCAGGUUUUCCCAGACUGGAAAUUCCUCAUGGGAGAAUUCCUUCUGCAGCCUUAACUUCCUAUGGCUGCCCCAUUUCAGUCUCACUCACAGUGUGGCUCUGGCUUUUUGUUUUCUCUCAUGUUAGCCAAGGUGUGCGGUGUUAGGAAAAGGGACAAGAGACACAAGCUGCAACAGGGAAAAUUCUGAUCAGAUGUUGGGUUUUUUUCCCCUACCACGAAGGCGGACAAACGCUGGCAAAGGUUGCUCAGGUUGUGGACUCUCCAUCCUUGGGGGUACUCAGAACUCAACUGAACAUGGCCCUCAGCAACCUGAGGCUUGCAGUCAGCAAAGCUUAAAAAAAGAAAAAAAAAAAGAAGCAUGAAUUUUGAGACUGAAGGAACAGCUGCAUUGGUUCUCUACUAUGGCAAAGCUAAGCAAAAUACCACAGAGCACCAGUCCUUUUUGUGACAUCCUGAGCUUAAUGGGUUGGAAAGUGAUGGAACAGCAAGAUGUCAACACUCAGUCAAAAUCGAAGAGCAGAGGACUUAGUGCAUCUGUUUGACCACAUGGUUCAAAUGAGGCUGCAGCGCACGGAAACCAUGCGCGUAGCAUUUGCAUGGAGGGUGGCGCUGACGGCUCCGUGACACACACAGAAGAGAAGCAUUGUCUGAGUGGCACUAUCUACACUUGGCCCAGGAUACUCACCCAGGGGAUAAACAAAGCAUCUUCGAAACAGAGGAGAGAAGUCCCCAGCUGGGUUCCAGACCUGGGCAGAUAGGACGUGGUGCUGUCAAGUGCCCUCACAAAGCAGUGCCCCUCUUUUUCUUCCCAAAUCUCUGCCAUCCUUUAUCCUGUCCCAGAUGUCCUUUCACAGCUGCCCAGUCCCACCUGAUUCAUGUUUGUAAUACUCUCAAUUAAAAAAUUAGUAAUUAAAAUGAAGCCCCCUUUGCCCAUAUUACUCCCAGUCUUUGGACUGCUCCAUCUGCCCAUUCCCAGUCCCCUUCUUGUUUUUAAAAGACUCAUUAGCAUGUGAUCUUGUGUCUGCCAGGAUUCCCCAGUGCCAUCUGCUCCUUUCCUAGAUGAUCAGUCCCACCCAGAUCACUGUUUACCAUACUCAGAAAUCUGACACAUUUUCUAAGCAUUGGUUUUGGAGGAUGCUUUUGUGAUUCUCUACCAAAGUGAACUCCUAUCAGCCUCUUCCCACAUUGUUACAGCCAUAGAAACAACACUGGUCCUUAGAUGGUCUGAUGUAUUCCCAGAUCUGUGGAGCCUUUGUGGCAACAGCAUACCGGCGUCCCUUGGGAUAUACAACCACAUGCUGUGCUGUGAUUUGCUUGAGGCAUUUAGCAUCUCUUGUGAUGACCAAAGACUAAAGUCACACUUUCCCAAACUCAACAUCCUCUUUGUGGAAAAACUUUGUGUCUAUCUUAAAUUCUUCCAACAUAAAAAUACUAAGUUCAUGUUAUAUUGCUUGGAAGAGUUUUCAAAACAUACCUUUUUCUUAUAAUUUCCCUAUUGGUCCCCUCAGUUACUUUCAUGCAUGUUAUGUUUGUAAAGAGGAGCAGUAAACACUGUAAUGCUGAAAAAUUCAGUUGGGAAAAUAACAAUAGUAUGUCAUCUCUGUUUAUCAGAGAAAAUACGGUGUAGGGGGAACUGUUCCAGCCUCUUUCCUGACAUUUGAACUGGGAACCCAGGUGGGUGACCUGCCAUAAUACCGCUGCCUUUCACAACAGACCCCUUGCCUUGAGUGAAAUGGGACCUGCUGUAAUUUUCCAUGCCCACCUGCCUUCCCAGGAAUGAUCUAGGUCCUCUCUUCAGUAACUUGGACAUCAAAAAAAUGCUUGGACAUAACACUGAAUGAACACUGAAUCCAGGAGAUUCAUGCCCCAAUAUCUUCACAGCACACCAGUAGGGGAAUGUCUUCCUGUGGAGCCCACCACGAGCUCCUUUCUCCAUAUAGGGUUGCACUAAUCCUGCUUUAGAUAGCAAUUGGAUCAAAGCAGGAAAAAUCCAGGAGCAUUGUAAACCUGUUUCUCUAGGUUUAUACAGCCAUGCACUUAACACGGGGCUGUGGCUUUCGGUACUGAGCAUCACAGAGUCUGCCCCUUUAAAGAUCCAACUCCAAUACUGGAAGAAGGUUUUGCUCCAAAGCAUGUAAAAUGAGCUACUGAAUUUGAGACCAAUGAGUACAAACAUCUACAAAGACUUAAAAAAACCACUAACCAACUAAGCUUUACUUAAAUUUUUGUAUGACUCAUUGCUGGCUUUGAAAUCUGUCACUGAAAAUGUAAUGACUCUUUAAACUUGAAAAUAUGUUCAUUCUCCUCAGCGGAGGUUACUCUUGAUGGGAUCUGAGGUGGAGAGAGCUUGUUCCCUGUGAUUUGUGCACAUUCAAAUCAUCAGUGUGUAAAUAUUUCCAGGAAUGAUGCCAACCCAAAAAACAGAUUUUUUACUUGAUAUUUGAGCGUUGUCAAUACAGCAGUGUUUUGACAGUAUACAUAAGGUCGCUGAUUCUAUCUGCAAAGUGCAGUCAUUGUGUUUGUGUCACAGUUGCAACCACCUUUAGCAUUUACAGAAGCUAGCAACUGAACUCAAUUAAUGUUGUCCCCUCCUCUUCCACAGCUGGACUUUAUACUUCCCAUAUAUAUAUAUAUAUACACCACAGCUGGACUUUUUAUAUAUAUAUGUGUGUGUGUGUGUGUGUAUAUAAAUCAUACCAGUAUGAUUUCCUUGCUGUCCUUCUCCUCCAAUUUCAUUGAAAUUGAUCUAAAAAGAAGAAAAGAUAAAGAUGAAAACAUCUAUUAUACUUUCAGAGAAAGAAUUUGCAUUCCUGGUCCUCCAUAGAUAUCAAAAUCGACCACUUUUUUCUCCAGUAAUUUAUUUUUCAUUACAAAAGAAAUAGUAAGACUAUGGAUUCAUACAUUUUUGUGAACAUCACUAUUUGACAAACAUGAUCUUAGCAAAUAUGAACUGUGUACAUCAGCUAGAAUAGUUCAGACAUCAGAUACACCCAAGUAUAUAUGCUAGCUUCUUUACCCCAGCUGUAUUCAUCUGAAGCUUAUUUGUGAAGCCAGAGAAGACAGGACAAUGUAUCAAGCCCCAGAAAAUCACUUAUCAUGAAACCAAUGAUUCCAGGUAGGAAUAUAUUUACUUUAAAAAACAACCAAAGGACAAUCUGAAGUGCUUUAUUUUGGAAUUAACUUACCAUACUAGGCUUUCCAGAGUCAGCUGGAAGACAUUUGGUAUGGUGUUUUAUCUGACUUAGGACCCUGCCUGAGCUCCCAGGCAGAUCAAUGGGGAGACAGGACAAGGCGCUUUCCAGUGAGAUUUUUCUGACAGGCAAACUGUACUGCACAGAUUUUGUACCUGAGAGAAGCUUUCAGAUCUGAAAGAGCCUGGAUUUCAUCAUUAAAGGAGCCAAGCUGUUUGUUCACUGCCACAGCCCUUCAUCAGUUAUCACUGCAACACAAAAUGAAGAAAACUCCUUGCAAGGAAUGAAAUGGGCAGGCUGCAAUACCAUUGUAUCGGAGAGACUUGGCACACAAACACCUUCUCUUGCUUUCUCUUAGACUGCUGCAAAAAUAAGAGAAACUGAUGAUGGAGUUGUAACCUACCUUUCCACUUAUUCCCACCAUUAAAAUCACUUUUGCAAAAAUUUGCAAAA